UACGUAGGGGGCAAGCGUUGUCCGGAUUCAUUGGGCGUAAAGAGCUCGUAGGCGGUUCAGUAAGUCAGGUGUGAAAGCUCCGAGCUCAACUCGGAGAGGCCACCUGAUACUGCUGUGACUUGAGUCCAGUAGAGGAGCGUGGAACUCCUGGUGUAGCGGUGGAAUGCGCAGAUAUCAGGAAGAACACCUGCAGCGAAGGCGGCGCUCUGGGCUGGAACUGACGCUGAGGAGCGAAAGCAUGGGUAGCAAACAGG
rnacentral:rRNA from 1 species